rnacentral:rRNA from 1 species
GACGAACGCUGGCGGCGUGCCUAACACAUGCAAGUCGAGCGGGGAUUUAAGUGGAAGUUCUUCGGAAUGGAGAUUUAAAUUCUAGCGGCGGACGGGUGAGUAACGCGUGAACAAUCUGUCCCGGACAGGGGGAUAAAACUAGGAAAAAGGUGCUAAUAACGCAUAAGACCACGGCGUCGCAUGGGGCUGAGGUAAAAGGAGAAAUCCGGGACGGGGUGAGUGCGCGUCCGAUUAGCUAGUGGGUGAGGUAACGGCCCACCAAGGCGAGGAUAGGUAGCCGGCCUGAGAUGAUGAACGGCCACAACUAAACUGAGAGGCGGUCCAGACUCCUACUGGACGCAGCAGUGGAGAAUAUUGGACAAUGGGCGAAUGCCUGACCCAGCACCGCCGCGUGAGGGAAGAAGGUUUUCGGAUUGUAAACCUCUGUCCUAUGAGACGAAGGUAGUGACGGUACCAUAGGAGGAAGCCCCGGCUAACUACGUG